CCUACGGGUGGCCGCAGUGAGGAAUAUUGGUCAAUGGACGCGAGUCUGAACCAGCCAAGUAGCGUGAAGGAUGACUGCCCUACGGGUUGUAAACUUCUUUUAUAUGGGAAUAAAAUGUUCCACGUGUGGGUUUUUGUAUGUACCAUAUGAAUAAGGAUCGGCUAACUCCGUGCCAGCAGCCGCGGUAAUACGGAGGAUCCGAGCGUUAUCCGGAUUUAUUGGGUUUAAAGGGAGCGUAGGUGGAUUGUUAAGUCAGUUGUGAAAGUUUGCGGCUCAACCGUAAAAUUGCAGUUGAGACUGGCAGUCUUGAGUACAGUAGAGGUGGGCGGAAUUCGUGGUGUAGCGGUGAAAUGCUUAGAUAUCACGAAGAACUCCGAUUGCGAAGGCAGCUCACUAAACUGCAACUGACACUGAGGCUCGAAAGUGUGGGUAUCAAACAGGAUUAGAUACCCCAGUAGUC
rnacentral:rRNA from 1 species